GAAAUGCGAUAAUUAAUGUGAAUUGCAGAAUUCGGUGAAUCAUCGAGUCUUUGAACGCACAUUGCGCCCCCUGGUAUUCCGGGGGGCAUGCCUGUCCGAGUGUCAUUGUUGCCCUCAAGCACGGCUUGUGUGUUGGGCUUCCGUCCCUGGCAACGGGGACGGGCCCAAAAGGCAGUGGCGGCACCAUGUCUGGUCCUCGAGCGUAUGGGGCUUUGUCACCCGCUCCCGUAGGUCCAGCUGGCAGCUAGCCUCGCAACCAAUCUUUUUAACCAGGUUGACCUCGGAUCAGGUAGGGAUACCCGCUGAACUUAAGC
rnacentral:misc_RNA from 1 species